rnacentral:rRNA from 1 species
CCUACGGGUGGCAGCAGUGAGGAAUAUUGGUCAAUGGGCGAGAGCCUGAACCAGCCAAGUCGCGUGAAGGAUGACGGCCCUACGGGUUGUAAACUUCUUUUGUCAGGGAGCAAUUGAGUCCACGUGUGGGCUUAGCGAGAGUACCUGAAGAAAAAGCAUCGGCUAACUCCGUGCCAGCAGCCGCGGUAAUACGGAGGAUGCGAGCGUUAUCCGGAUUUAUUGGGUUUAAAGGGUGCGUAGGCGGGACCUUAAGUCAGCGGUAAAAUUGCGGUGCUCAACGCCGUAGAGCCGUUGAAACUGGGGUUCUUGAGUGAGCGAGAAGUAUGCGGAAUGCGUGGUGUAGCGGUGAAAUGCAUAGAUAUCACGCAGAACCCCGAUUGCGAAGGCAGCAUACCGGCGCUCAACUGACGCUGAGGCACGAAAGUGCGGGUAUCGAACAGGAUUAGAUACCCCAGUAGUC